UUUAAGAGGGGGUGUUGAAAGCUAAACUUGAUUUGGAUCACAUUUUGGGCUAAUAAUUUACUAACAAUUUUAGUCCAAACUUAGUCCAAUAUCUAGAAUUAUCUUCCACCUCCUUAGAAUAAAAAUCUAGAUAUUCUCAUAGAAUUAUCUAGAUAAUUAUGAUAAAAAAUCUUAGAUAUUAUGAUAGAAUUCUCUAGAUUUAGGAUUAAAAUAUGUAAGAUAUUUUGUAUUUUGGAGGUUAUAAAUACUUCCACUCUCUUCUCAUUUUGUAUCACCAAAAAUUAUCCAAGUUUGUAAGAAUCAUCUAAGUAAUAAGAAUCUUCUUAUAAGUUAUAAAAUCUUUUUUUUUCACGAAAUUUCUUUUUCUUCGAACAUUUAAAACACUUUCUCCGUCUUUGUAAAGUUUUUCAUUCCAACGGUAAUUACCAUCGCGACAACAACAACAACACAGUUCCAUGUUAGUUACCUUCUUCAUGUUGUGUUCUUGGCUCUGUUCAGCUGUUGUGUCCUCUCGGCUCUGUUACUCUCAUGUGCAGAUGGAGCAUCCAGUGACAGCGACCUAGCGUAUUCCGGCAACAUCCCUGGACCCUGAUGCCGGAGGUGCUAGCUGCGGUGGUGGCUGUGGAGAUUAAGAGUUCUUUCGUCUUCGUCGUGGAAAUAGACAAAAGUAAUGGGCUAUUUUGUAUAGAGCUUAUUCGUUGUUUUUUCAUAAAUAUAAGAAUAUAUGUUGUAUUGUGGUUUUUGUGGCCAGCUUUGGUAUUGAGAUCUUUCGUUGUUUUUCAUCAAUAAUAUAAGAAUUGGUUGUUUAUGACGCA
rnacentral:lncRNA from 1 species